rnacentral:rRNA from 1 species
UACAGAGGUCUCAAGCGUUGUUCGGACUCAUUGGGCGUAAAGGGUGCGUAGGUGGCGAGGCAAGUCAGAUGUGAAAUCCCGGGGCUCAACCCCGGAACUGCAUUUGAAACUGCCUUGCUCGAGUACUGGAGAGGAGACUGGAAUUUACGGUGUAGCAGUGAAAUGCGUAGAUAUCGUAAGGAAGACCAGUGGCGAAGGCGAGUCUCUGGACAGUUACUGACACUGAGGCACGAAGGCCAGGGGAGCAAACGGG